rnacentral:rRNA from 1 species
GACGAACGCUGGCGGCGUGCUUAACACAUGCAAGUCGAACGGAAAGGCCCUGCUUUUGUGGGGUGCUCGAGUGGCGAACGGGUGAGUAACACGUGAGUAACCUGCCCUUGACUUUGGGAUAACUUCAGGAAACUGGGGCUAAUACCGGAUAGGAGCUCCUGCUGCAUGGUGGGGGUUGGAAAGUUUCGGCGGUUGGGGAUGGACUCGCGGCUUAUCAGCUUGUUGGUGGGGUAGUGGCUUACCAAGGCUUUGACGGGUAGCCGGCCUGAGAGGGUGACCGGCCACAUGGGAACGGAGAUCCGGCCCAGACUCCUACGGGGGGAAGCGGGGGGGAAUAUGGCAAAAGGGGCGGAAGCCGGAUGCAGAAACGCCGGGUGCGGGAUGAGGGCCUUGGGGUGGUAAACCGCUUUCGCCGGUGACGAAGCGUGAGGGACGGUAAUGGGUAAAGAAGCACCGGCUAACUACGG